GACAGAGGAUGCAAGCGUUAUCCGGAAUGAUUGGGCGUAAAGCGUCUGUAGGUGGCUUUUCAAGUCCGCCGUCAAAUCCCAGGGCUCAACCCUGGACAGGCGGUGGAAACUACCAAGCUGGAGUACGGUAGGGCAGAGGGAAUUUCCGAUGGAGCGGGUGAAAUGCAUUGAGAUCGGAAAGAACAACCAACGGCGAAAGCACUCUGCUGGGCCGACGACUGACACUGAGAGACGAAAGCUAGGGAGCAAAUGGG
rnacentral:rRNA from 1 species